ensembl:lncRNA
UUUAGAUGAAGACUUUCAGCAUGAAGAUUGUUGUUCUACUUGGAUUUGUGAUGCUUCUUUCUAUUGCUUUGGCUGAGCAUGAGCAUGGCCAUCAGCAUGUCAUUGAGAAGCGCUCUUCAAGUGAAGAGCGUGUCCGUGGCCCUGGCCCUGGCCGUGGCUUUCCAAACUUUCUGCAGCAGUACCAGUACCAGUACCAGUACCAGCAGUACCUUCUGCUUCUGCAAAGACUUGGUCUUGUCCCAGCCCCUGCAGCACCAGCCCCAGCUCCAGCCCCAGCUCCAGCUCCAGCCCCAGCUCCUGCCCCAGCUCCAGCCCCAGCUCCUGCCCCAGCUCCAGCCCCAGCUCCAGCUGGUCGCUGAGAAAGGACAUGAAUCAGAAACUUCAACUCAACAAGAGCAAGCUAUGGUUGAUGAAAUGACCAGAACAUUAACUGACAAUAAGUACUGUAAUAGCUGUCUUCCAUAUUUUGCUUGAGUUUCCCUUUAAUUUACCUGCUGUCUGUCUGUCUGCAAUGCAAUAAAGAGGAUUUGAAAUGGCA